GCCCGGAUAGCUCAGUCGGUAGAGCAGGGGAUUGAAAAUCCCCGUGGUCUUGGUUCGAUUCCGAGUCCGGGCACCA
rnacentral:tRNA from 1 species